GGCCCUUUUCUCUUGAUCUCUUUCUUUCCUAAGCAGCUCCUUCACCUUCAUCAAGACUCAGCUCAGGACAAACCCCUUCCAGAAAGUUUGUUCUGGUUUCUUGCUCUGUGAGUUUGGGGCCUCACCUUGUGACUGCCUUUAUCAAAGAGCCUAUCACUCUGUGUCUCUGCUCACUAGGCGACCUGGAAGCAUACUUCUGGUAGCAAUGGGGACACGGGUCAAAGGGGACUUGAGGUUAUCAGCUUUCAGAAUGAAGACACAUAAUCCCUAUUAGAGUGGAAGACUUAAAAUCGAGUUUGAGACCCACCUUCUGAAACUGCAGGCUCUUGGGAGCCUGAUUUCCGGUGAAGAGUGUUGCUGCUUUGCAUUUUUCACACUUGAACACAGUGAAGAAGAUGAACAUUAAUUAGGAUUAUAGUGCCAUGGAGGCUUACUGUGCUGUGAGAACUCACAAGAAAUAAAAUGCCAUUUCUUUUUUUGGAUGCAA
rnacentral:lncRNA from 1 species